rnacentral:lncRNA from 1 species
AAAAUAAAGUUUUGUAAAUUGUUUUCGAAAAUGUGUAAACCUUCGCUAUUAAAUAAGUAUAUAAUUUCCCGAAAAUAUUUAACUAGUAUGUAAUACGGUACCCUGCAGUAGAAGUGAGAGAAAAGAUGUAUGGUAGACCAACAAGGUAUCUUAACAUUAAAUCUCAAAUCAUUAUUACAAGAAAUCAAUUCAAUGCUCAUUCAUUUAUGUAGGCACACAAGUCCAUUGCAGAGAUAUUCAAACAAUGGAACAGGCUAGGUGUAGGUUUUACAUUCUGG